rnacentral:rRNA from 1 species
CCUACGGGCGGCAGCAGUGGGGAAUAUUGCACAAUGGGCGCAAGCCUGAUGCAGCCAUGCCGCGUGUGUGAAGAAGGCCUUCGGGUUGUAAAGCACUUUCAGCGGGGAGGAAGGCGUUAAGGUUAAUAACCUUGGCGAUUGACGUUACCCGCAGAAGAAGCACCGGCUAACUCCGUGCCAGCAGCCGCGGUAAUACGGAGGGUGCAAGCGUUAAUCGGAAUUACUGGGCGUAAAGCGCACGCAGGCGGUCUGUCAAGUCGGAUGUGAAAUCCCCGGGCUCAACCUGGGAACUGCAUUCGAAACUGGCAGGCUAGAGUCUUGUAGAGGGGGGUAGAAUUCCAGGUGUAGCGGUGAAAUGCGUAGAGAUCUGGAGGAAUACCGGUGGCGAAGGCGGCCCCCUGGACAAAGACUGACGCUCAGGAGCGAAAGCGUGGGGAGCAAACAGGAUUAGAUACCCGUGUAGUC